AGAUUUUAUAGCAGCAGGUGACCAAUUUGGGUGGGCACUUUUGAGUAGAGCAGCAAUGCCACUAAGAUGAGGGCAGGACAUUGAGGUACCAGAGAUCAUACCAAACCUGUUGGUAGUAUGAUCAUCUGAAACUGGAUAGGCAGCUAAAAUGUUCACACCAGGGCCUAUAAUGUCAGGUUUCAAGAUCCCAGGACUCGCGAUGCUAGGACCCCUCGAGGAAAACCAGGCCACUUGAGGAGCAGCCGGUACACCAGUUACAGUUCCUUUAAACAAGAUUGUAGCAGUCGGCGACGAUGUAGAGUUUAUAUAGGCUUUAAUUGCCAAGCCUGCCAUGUAACUCACACGUGAUGCUGGGAGCACAUGAUGUUCAUAAUCAAGCACGAUAACAGAGCCUUGAUACUCAUAAUUCAUUACAAUCAUGGCAGCGCCUCCAUUUCUUUUCACCUCUUUGCCUUUGGAAACUGUUUCAGACCCUCCUUCACAGAACACUAUCUUGCCUUUGACAUCAACAUUUUUCAAUGAUCCAUUUUUGCAGGAUGCAUAAACAAGUGGCAGUGAUGAUGAAGUAAAAUGUUUUGGCUGAA
rnacentral:misc_RNA from 1 species